ensembl:lncRNA
AGGGCUCAUCAAGUGGGAGAAGACGUCGGCGUUGCACGUUUGUGAGCCCUUCCGAGCACGACCACUUUCGGGAGUCAUGAGGGGCCUCCCACAGGAAUCCGUCUUGAUGUAAAGACCGACGAAACGUCCGUCCAGCUCCAGUCCUUCGCUUUCCCACACUUCCAGCCCGGAGCGGCCGCUGGCAAAGCCAACACCUCUACGCGUCCCACCCUUGCUGCCAAAAAGAUGCCAACCUCUGCCGGGUGUGUGGUUGUUUUAGAAAGGGAAGCCCACCCGCUGCCCUCGGGGGGGGCGACACUGUCGUGUCAACACGGUCUCACGGAUCAGUGCCAGCUGAUCCCUGGUGCAGAACAGUGCGGUGAGGUGGUGGCAGCCAACGCUUUCCUCCGCCGACUGCACUGAAGAAACAACACCGGCGGCUGGGCCCACGCCAG